GUAUCUGUCGUUGGCGGUGGUGAUGAUGUUGACGAGAACGACUGGAGCUUCAAUAAACCAGCUGGGGAGUCUGUACCUGAUUCAGCCACAGCGAUACGAAGUGGACCCGCAUGCAGGAUAUAGGAACCAGCGCGAUUUCGCAGGCAAGCACGGCGUCGGGGGAUACCGGCUGGUCGAGGCGCUUGGCAACGGACAGUAUCACAACUACAAGCAGCUUGCCCAAGGCCGUGAAACCUUUCCUACUAACUAUUAUUAUUAUUACAGAUAGGUUAUAAAUAUCUAUAUCUAUGAGAGUCUCAUGAGAUUAUACAAAUUGCAAUUUUAGUUUUAAAAAGCCAUAUCGACAUCUUUCCAAUUUUUAUAUCCUUCAAACGUAUGUAACUUGAUUUUUUAUUUCUUUCUAGCCUUUUCUAAAUGGCACAACUGCCCAAUUGCUCGGAAUUAGUAUCAGAUAGUAUUAAAUGACUCUAAAAUAGGAUAUCGCAUAUAUAUAUAUAUAUAUAUAUAUGUAUAUAUGUAUGUGUGCAGUGUGUAUGUCUGUGACUGUAUGGAUGUAUAGGCUAAAUUAACAAAGGGGCAUUAUACCAUGGAGUAAAAAAAAAAAAAAGAGAACAUCGCUCAACACAUUUUUAAUAACUAAGUUUGGGUCGCUCUUUUGAAAAAAAAAAAUUAUCUUACACUUUUUAAGCGCGGUGGCAUGAAUCAAAUAUGGUCUCUUAACCUCUAAAUAUUUUGCAGUAUAUAAUGACAUAGUCCUGAGAUUUUACAAAGAAAAUUAUCAAAAGAUUAUUUUAGUAUUUCCAGAGUCCAUGUAUAUCGCUUGAUGUGAGGGAUUCUCUUCAUCUGAAAGUGUUGAUAAGAAAACCCAUACAUUUGUCAAUUAAACAAUUCUAGAUAAAUUGUAUAAGAUAUAUAAAUAGCAAUGCUAAAAAAAUAGGGAUUUAUGAGGAUUCUAUACAUAAGAAAAAUAAUAUUUUACUUAGCUAACAGGAUACAGUGAAAUCCAACAAAGGUCCCCUUUAAUUAAACAAUUAAACAAAAAUGAGGUCAGGGAUGCAAAAGAGCGAACCUAAAGCCGCUUUUUCAUAUCAGUUGCCCAGCAAGUCAUUGUCAAAUUUGAUUUUUGAGCGAUGUGUUAUCUUUUGCGUAAUUUAUAAAUGUUUUAUAUGCUUCAAUGAAACGUUGGUAAUGUACAUACCUCCUUUGCUGCUUAUGUAACGCAGCGCCAUUAGUCUAAAAACAAAUAUAAAACAUUAUUACAAA